rnacentral:rRNA from 1 species
CCUACGGGAGGCAGCAGUGGGGAAUAUUGGGCAAUGGGCGCAAGCCUGACCCAGCAACGCCGCGUGAAGGAAGAAGGCUCUAGGGUUGUAAACUUCUUUUCUGAGGGACGAAGAAAGAGACGGUACCUCAGGAAUAAGCCACGGCUAACUACGUGCCAGCAACCGCGGUAAUCCGUAGGUGGCAAGCGUUAUCCGGAUUCAUUGGGUGUAAAGGGCGUGUAGGCGGGAAAGUAAGUCAGAUGUGAAAACUCAGAGCUCAAACCUGAGCCUGCAUUUGAAACUGGUUUUCUUGAGUGCUGGAGAGGCAAGCGGAAUUCGGGGUGUAGCGGUGAAAUGCAUAGAUAUACGGAAGAACACCGGUUGCGAAGGCGGAUUGCUGGACAGUAACUGACGCUGAGGCACGAAAGCGUGGGGAGCGAACAGGAUUAGAUACCCCUGUAGUC